UACGGAGGGUGCGAGCGUUGUCCGGAAUCACUGGGCGUAAAGGGCGCGUAGGCGGCGCGGGCAGUCAACGGUGAAAGCUUGGGGCUCAACCCCGAGUCGGCCGUCGAUACUCCCGGGCUGGAGCACUGUAGAGGCAGGUGGAAUUCCGGGUGUAGCGGCGGAAUGCGUAGAGAUCCGGAAGAACACCGGUGGCGAAGGCGGCCUGCUGGGCAGUAGCUGACGCUGAGGCGCGACAGCGUGGGGAGCAAACAGG
rnacentral:rRNA from 1 species